rnacentral:rRNA from 1 species
GGAUCCCGUUAUUGCCAAACUAAACAUGCCAAGUCGAGCGGUAACAGGGGUAGCUUGCUACCCGCUGACGAGCGGCGGACGGGUGAGUAAUGCAUAGGAAUCUGCCCGAUAGUGGGGGAUAACCUGGGGAAACCCAGGCUAAUACCGCAUACGUCCUACGGGAGAAAGGGGGCUCCGGCUCCCGCUAUUGGAUGAGCCUAUGUCGGAUUAGCUAGUUGGUAAGGUAAUGGCUUACCAAGGCAACGAUCCGUAGCUGGUCUGAGAGGAUGAUCAGCCACAUCGGGACUGAAACACGGCCCGAACUCCUACGGGAGGCAGCAGUGGGGAAUAUUGGACAAUGGGGGCAACCCUGAUCCAGCCAUGCCGCGUGUGUGAAGAAGGCCCUCGGGUUGUAAAGCACUUUCAGCGAGGAAAAACGCCUAUCGGUUAAUACCCGGUAGGAAAGACAUCACUCGCAAAAGAAGCACCGGCUAACUCCGUGCCAGCAGCCGCGGUAAUACGGAGGGUGCAAGCGUUAAUCGGAAUUACUGGGCGUAAAGCGCGCGUAGGUGGCUUGAUAAGCCGGUUGUGAAAGCCCCGGGCUCAACCUGGGAACGGCAUCCGGAACUGUCAGGCUAGAGUGCAGGAGAGGAAGGUAGAAUUCCCGGUGUAGCGGUGAAAUGCGUAAAGAUCGGGAGGAAUACUAGUGGCAAAGGCGGCCUUCUGGACUGACACUGACACUGAGGUGCAAAAGCGUGGGUAGCAAAACAGGAUUAGAUACCCUGGUAGUCCACGCCGUAAACGAUGUCGACCAGCCGUUGGGUGCCUAGAGCACUUUUGUGCCGAAGUUAACGCGAUAAGUCGACCGCCUGGGGAGUACCGCCGCAAGGUUAAAACUCAAAUGAAUUGACGGGGGCCCGCACAAGCGGUGGAGCAUGUGGUUUAAUUCGAUGCAACGCGAAGAACCUUACCUACCCUUGACAUCUACAGAAGCCGGAAGAGAUUCUGGUGUGCCUUCGGGAACUGUAAGACAGGUGCUGCAUGGCUGUCGUCAGCUCGUGUUGUGAAAUGUUGGGUUAAGUCCCGUAACGAGCGCAACCCUUGUCCUUAUUUGCCAGCGAGUAAUGUCGGGAACUCUAAGGAGACUGCCGGUGACAAACCGGAGGAAGGUGGGGACGACGUCAAGUCAUCAUGGCCCUUACGGGUAGGGCUACACACGUGCUACAAUGGCCGGUACAAAGGGCUGCGAGCUCGCGAGAGUCAGCGAAUCCCUUAAAGCCGGUCUCAGUCCGGAUCGGAGUCUGCAACUCGACUCCGUGAAGUCGGAAUCGCUAGUAAUCGUGAAUCAGAAUGUCACGGUGAAUACGUUCCCGGGCCUUGUACACACCGCCCGUCACACCAUGGGAGUGGACUGCACCAGAAGUGGUUAGCCUAACGCAAGAGGGCGAACCACAUAUCGGUAAGUCCUUUGGC